rnacentral:tRNA from 4 species
GGAGAGUUGGCCGAGUGGUUGAAGGCGCGCGCCUCGAAAGCGCGUUACUCCGCAAGGGGUACGAAGGUUCAAAUCCUUCACUCUCCGCCA